GAUUGAAGAAGCUUGCUUCUGAUUGAUAACAUUUGAGUGAGUGGCGGACGGGUGAGUAACACGUGGGUAACCUGCCCUAAAGUGGGGGAUAACAUUUGGAAACAGAUGCUAAUACCGCAUAAAACCUAGCACCGCAUGGUGCAAGGUUGAAAGAUGGUUUCGGCUAUCACUUUAGGAUGGACCCGCGGUGCAUUAGUUAGUUGGUGAGGUAAAGGCUCACCAAGACCGUGAUGCAUAGCCGACCUGAGAGGGUAAUCGGCCACACUGGGACUGAGACACGGCCCAGACUCCUACGGGAGGCAGCAGUAGGGAAUCUUCCACAAUGGACGAAAGUCUGAUGGAGCAACGCCGCGUGAGUGAAGAAGGUUUUCGGAUCGUAAAACUCUGUUGUUGGAGAAGAACGUAUUUGAUAGUAACUGAUCAGGUAGUGACGGUAUCCAACCAGAAAGCCACGGCUAACUACGUGCCAGCAGCCGCGGUAAUACGUAGGUGGCAAGCGUUGUCCGGAUUUAUUGGGCGUAAAGCGAGCGCAGGCGGUUUCUUAAGUCUGAUGUGAAAGCCUUCGGCUCAACCGAAGAAGUGCAUCGGAAACUGGGAAACUUGAGUGCAGAAGAGGACAGUGGAACUCCAUG
rnacentral:rRNA from 1 species